rnacentral:rRNA from 1 species
CCCAGACUCCUACGGGAGGCAGCAGUGGGGAAUAUUGGGCAAUGGGCGCAAGCCUGACCCAGCAACGCCGCGUGAAGGAAGAAGGCUUUCGGGUUGUAAACUUCUUUUCUCAGGGACGAAUAGAUGACGGUACCUGAGGAAUAAGCCACGGCUAACUACGUGCCAGCAGCCGCGGUAAUACGUAGGUGGCAAGCGUUAUCCGGAUUUAUUGGGUGUAAAGGGCGUGUAGGCGGGAGCGCAAGUCAGAUGUGAAAACUCAGGGCUCAACCCUGAGCCUGCAUUUGAAACUGUGUUUCUUGAGUGCUGGAGAGGCAAUCGGAAUUCCUGGUGUAGCGGUGAAAUGCGUAGAUAUCAGGAGGAACACCGGCGGCGAAGGCGGCCUGCUGGACCGUGACUGACGUUGAGGCUCGAGAGCGUGGGGAGCAAACAGGAUUAGAUACCCCCGUAA